AGAAGUAAAUGCCAAAACCAAAGCUCAAAAGUGGUUACAAUCAUUUCUACAUGGGCUCAGUUGCGGCUCAUCCCAAACAAACCAUCUUAACAUAUAUGGGAUUCCGUCUCCUCAUCUGUGAAAUAGUCUAUCUGACAGAGACUCUAUCAAAAGAGUUCAAUAUGACAUAGAAAAUAUAUAAAAGAGGCAAAAAAUUAAGGGUUUGGUCUAUAUCUGAAGGUCAAAUAGCACAGCCAUCUGUGAGUUGGAUGGUAUUCAGACGGGUGAUAGAAAGGGUGCAGAAAUUCUUUGCGUGUUUGCUCUGUCAAUAACAAUCUGAGUGACCUUGAACAAGUCCUCUAAACUCUGCAAGGCUCACUUUCCUCCUCAGUAAAGGGAAGAGGUCUACAAGGUCUAUUCGAUCCUGAAGGUCAGGUCUUGAGAACAGUAGCUAAAAAUACCAUCUCCUUGUAACGCCACGGCAGCUAUAUCUCCCUGCACUUACAAGAAUCCAAAUGUUGACAGAGAUCUUCUGAAAGCAAAAAGAAACCCUAAAAGCCCUGUCAGGCAUUUUGUCAUCGUUUGGUAAUGCAGAUUUGAAUGUGUCUUUCUUGAGAGCAUUCCCAGAUGUUUACACCAUUUGGACGUGUGGUAAAAAGUUAGUGUUUCACUUCAUGGGGUGGAUCCCAGCCCCUUUCUGGCUUUAGAGCCACAGUGACAUGUGGAGGAACAUGACAGCUGGCCUUCACAGGGAGAAUGACACGCUGUAAUCACCAGCUUAUUGAUGACAGUGGCCAUUUGAGUUCAGCCCUCUGUGUUCAUUCAUUGGUUCAUCAACAACUAUUUACUGUGUGUGACUCUCCUAAACUGUGUGUUAUACAAAGAUGGGGGAAAUGCAAAGGUAUGACCCUUGCCUUUCCUGACUUGGGAAUCUAAUUUGAAGAGCUAGGUCAUCCAAGCAAUUAUUAAAAAGAUAAUAUACCGUGUCAGUCACAUGAGUUAUUAAAAAGAGAAUAUACCACAAGUGUCAGCCACGUGAUUCAAGGCAAUAAGUGCCAUUUAUCCAGUGGGUUUUAAAUGUAUUCAGUAUCUUUCUUCUGCUGAGUGAGACAUCAAUUCUAGAUGGUGUGCUCCAAGGUUUUUCAAGUGAAAGUGGAAUAUGAGCUGGAUAUAACGGAAAAAUGAACUGGAGAAGGCUCAUUCUAAGAAGGGAAAUUAGCAUUUAAAAAGGCACUAAAUUAGGAAAUAUUAGAAGCAACCAGAAUAGAGCAGAUUAAAUCCUGCUCUGUUGCUCAGUGUGGCAAUGACCUCCAGCCCCGACUAUUUCUGUACCUCAGAAAGUAGAUCCCAUCAAACAGACCAUUAUAAACAGCUCCUUGACCCAAAGUGCUUGUUUCUUUAAGCAGAAUUACUCAUUUCACUAAAUUAAGUGGUUAAUGGUCCAGACUCAAGUUCAGAGGUCUGUAGAUCCAAUCUUUCCACUAACACAAGAGUCUAUAUAUAGACCUUCCCAUUUUUGCUCACACCCAGUAAGAAGAGAACAGCAUGUGGCCCCUACCACCCUCUUAACCUUAGUGGAUCAUCUGCCUUUAGCUAAUCCAAUAGUUUUAACCCACAACAAAGCCAAUGGGACGUGUCAGGAGCAUGAGUGGCAAACAGCCAACCCAUAAGGCUUUCCAGUGGAAAACUUGAUGAUAAAUACCAGACAUACCUGGAUUGAGCAGUAUGUCAUCCCUCCACUGAGCACGUAAGAAAUCUUGUCAGCCAGUAACUAUCUGGUGAUACCAUUGUCCUACCAUAAACUUUCUUUGCAAAACAGAAUGACCUGAAACAUGACACCAGCAGCAGCUGAUGAAACUAGAGGCUCUCAUACUAAGUGAAGUAAGUCACAUAUCACUUAUAUCUGGAAUCUAAUAUAUGGCACAAAUGAACCUUUCCACAGAAAAGAAAAUCGUGGACUUGGAGAACAGACUUGUGGUUGCCAAGGGGGAGCGGGAGGGAGUGGGAUGGACUGGAAAUUUGCAGUUAAUAGAUGCAAACUAUUGCCUUUGGAAUGGAUAAGCAAUGAGAUCCUGCUGUAUAACACUGGGAACUAUAUCUAGUCACUUAUGAUGGAGCAUGAUAAUGUGAGAAAAAAGAAUGUAUAUAUGUGUGUGACUGGGUCACCUUGCUGUACAGUAGAAAAUUGACAGAACACUGUAAACCAGCUACAAAGGAGAAAAUAAAAAUCAUUUUAGAAAAUAGAGAGCCUUCAAACCACAUAUCUUACCAUAACCUACUUCUCUCACAAGUGAGUUGAAUUCAUCCUAUUUAAUAUUAGCCUACAACUGUCCUCAUGAUUUUCUAUAUUUUUCAGUAGCUAACAUACUUGAAAUUAUAAAAAGCUUUUUACAAAUAAAUUAUCUUCUGUGCAAGCUUUCUAUUUCAAUUAGCUUCUAUAACAGAACAGGUCUAUUAUUCUAAAGUUUGGUGUUUGUUCCUUCACCUGACACCUUCCACCUUUGACAAGUUUCUCUCCAUUGGCAGUUUCUAUUUAUAUUUCCGCAUAUUAGUAUAACAAAUUUAAAUAAAAUCCUCCACUUGUAUCAUUAAUUAGCCUUUGGCAAUGGGCCUGAUUAAAUGCCCUUGGCAGCCAAAUGAUUUAAGUAUCUAAAAGGUUAUUUUUAUCACUUAUUAAGGAUGCCUGUUAGAGAACUAUUACCACCAACUUCUCAACAAGGGGAACUCUUUGGAGUCUAGUGCACUUCUUAAUGCCCCUCUUGGGGUUGUGUUGAGUAACCGGCGGUUUUUCUAACAAAUGAGAAAAGUUUGUCUGAAUGAGAAGAAAUGUAAGUGAUUUUUUUUUAAUUGUUGAAAUGAUUAAUAAUUUUUCUGCCAAUCCAUGCUGGAAUUUCAAGAAACAAUUUUUCUCCUCACUAUUAAUAAUUUAGGAAAGUGUGAAUAGGGAUAUUUUUCCAUUCUUAAUUUUUUUGAAGUGUAGUUGAUUUACAAUGUUUCAGGUAUACAGAAAAGUUAUUCAAUUAUAUAUAUAUACACAUAUAUAUACGUAGAUAUGUAUACAUAUUCAUUUACAGAUUAUUUUCCAUUAGAGAUUACUACAAGAUAUUGAAUAGAAUUCCCUGUGCUGUGUAGUAGGUCCUUGAUGGUAAUCUAUUUUAUACAUAGCCGUCUGCAUAUGUUAAUCCCAAAGUCCUACUGUAUCCCUCCCCCACCUUUCCCCUUAGUAACUAUAGUUUUCUAUGCCUGUGAGUCUACUUCUAUUUUGUAAAUAAGUUCAUUUGUAUCUUUUAUUUUAGAUUCCACAUAUAAGUGAUAUCAUAUGGUAUUUGUCUUUGUCUGACCUAGGUCAUCCAUGUUACUGCAAAUGGCAUUAUUUCAGUCUUUUUAAUGGCUAAUUGAAUAGGGUUUUAUUGAAUCAGAAGUCCUAUCCCAUACUCUUCUAUCUAUGAAGCUAAAUGUACUUCUUCAAACACCCUGACUGAAUAUGAACUGCACUGGGCCUGGCAAGCCGUUACCCUCUAAUUAUGAGCUUUCAUUCACAGGACCCUGUGGCAACUAGCCCAGUGCCUGGCAUAUAAGUGCCCCCCAAAUAUGUGUUAUGUAAUAAAAUGAGGACUGUCCAUUUGCAGUAUACCUCUUAAGAGAGGAUGGCAUAAAAAUAAGGAGGAUUUCCAUUUAUUUUUCAUUUGUUUGUGAUUCCAUUUAAUAGGAGACAUAGUUAUAAGAAGUGAAUAAUAUGGAGGAACAAUAUCUGGAGUAAGCAAUGCAGUAAAUCACGGGGAAUCAGCCACUGUGACAGUAUAUCUUCCACCUUUCAUGAAAUGAUCUACGUAAGGAAAAAGAGAAGGAAGAAAGAGGGGUAAGGUUGAGAAGAGAGAAAAAGAAGAGAAAUCUAUUCUUACCUAACAUAAGAAAAUACAGUAUGGUACUCAAAUAAAUAUUAUCACUUAAGUAAUGCAUUGGAUUUUCAAGAUCAUCUACAAAUUAAUAUAUAUCAUAUAAGAUGAAUAAAAAUAUUCAUUGGCUGUGGCUUUUGCAAAUAGAGAGUUUUGUGAUUUUCUGACUUAUCAGGAGAAUUAGAAACAAUGCCCCAUGAAGAGUAUAGUUUUGUGACUAGAAUACAGACUUGAAUGUUGCAAUUGAAGUCAUUAAUUUAUGAGAGAUUUUCCUGGGCUUUUGGCAAAUGACUAAAUAUUUAUUGAGCAAAGAGACUUAAGACAUAAAGACUCCCUUCAGGGAGUUUGCAAUCUGGUUGUCUUCAAUAAGAAUCUUAGGAAUUCCUGUGUGGCCCAGCAGGUUAAGGAUCUGGUGUUGCUACAACUGUGGCAUAGGUCACAACUGGCAGCACAGGUUCAAUCCCUGGCCUGGAAACUUCCACAUGCCACAGAUGCAGCUCCCCCCCCCCAAAAAAAAGAAUCUUAGGAAAGAGAAAAAGAAAAGAAAAUAUGGAGAUAAAGAGGAAACUGUGUUUCAAGAAAACCUUCAAGAAAGGAGGAGAAACUAGAAACUUCUAGAAUCAUACAUGAGGGGAAACUACAAAAUAUAAUGCAUUUAGCACCUGAAAGAGCCUCAAAAUGUAAAAAAAACAGGGGGCAAAAAAACCUCAGAAAUGUAAUCCACCACCAACUUCACUCAUAGGUACGCUGUCAUUCAAUGUUAGCAAAAUAAAAGAAAAAAUAUAUCUAAAUAUUGAAGGAAAUGAAAAUAGAUUUAAGCUAUAUUGUGAAUAAAAUAUUUAUCAGUCAAACAAAUUCAUAAUUAGAAGCUGGCUACUUUUCAAAUAUAAUUCAACAGUGAAUGAGGGAAUUUUAGAUCCUCUGUGUAAACAAGGCUUGAAAUAACUCUCUGAAUACCAACACCAGGUUUUGCAAACACAGACAAUACACUGCUCAGUACACUGGGUUCCCUUUAUCUUAGGAAACAUCCACUUCAUUAUUAGCAGGUUCUUAAUUUUCUUUUCCGAAGUGUCCUUAGUGUUUCUAAAAUGGUUCCUACCCUUUUUCUUGAACAGUUAUGGCAAAAGCCUCAGACUAAUAAUUGGAUUAGGUAAGCAUAAUCUCUGCUAGAUCUUCAUUGAGGGCUUUCUAUGUGCCAGAUGCUGUGUUGAGCAUAUGAGAUGUGUUCUCUUUUAAUCCUUACAACCACCCUACAAAUUCACAUAAUAGGAAUAGUAUUUCUAUUUAGGAGAUAAAAGAAUCAAGAAUGAGAGUGAUUUACCAAUUUUUAUAACGCUAACCAUUACUGGAAGUAGGAUCUCAAUGCUGGUCAAUUGGGCUAAAAGUAUCUGUGCUCACCUUGCUGGCCUAUGAAGCAUCCUUUACAAGAGAAAGAUUCCAUAAAACCACCCCAUACCCAUUCUGGGCUACAAACAUGCAUGCAAUCUUGUCUGACCUUUAUUAUCACUCGCUGAAUGAACACUACGAGUGACUAUCACUUGGUGGCUUUUAGAAACUCUACUCUGGAAGUAAUGUUCACAUACCUGCAUAAUGCUUUUGGUUUUGGUUUUGGUUUGUUUUGUUUUUUCUGGCUUUUUAGGGCCGCACCUGCAGCAAAUAUAAGUUUCCAGGCUAGGGGUCUAAUCAGAGCUGCAGCUGCAGCCUACACCACAGCCACAGCAACAGCAACACCAGAUCCUUAACCCAUUGAGCAAGGCCAGGAUCGAACGCACAUCCUUAUGGAUAUUAGUCAGGUUCGUUUCCACUGUGUCACUAAGGGAACUCUCGGUAUAUUUUUUUAGGUAACUCUCUUGUGAAGUUAAUAUUGCCUGUUUUAUCAGCAUUAUGUUUACUUGUCUUAUGCUGGCAUUUGCCUCCACUACCAUCACCACACCACCAGAUUGUAUCUUAUUAUUUUUACAGCCCUCAACAAAUUACAGUGCCCUGCCAAUAAUUGGUAGUAAAUGGUUGCUGAAUUGAACUGAAAUAUAAUGAAGUGAAUUGAAUUGUUCUGAAUUACAGGACCAGGUUACAUAGUCCACAUCAUUUUUUAUUCAAAUAAUUAUUGAGCACCAACUGUGUGUCAGGUGACAUUGCAUUUUGCAAUACCAUCGACGGGAUUCAGUUUUUUACAGUAUCUUUUAAACAGAUUCCAUUGCUUGUGAAAUCAUUAUGAGCCCCUGUGACUAAAGAUAUACUGGUACUUGAUAGCUUUAAAUUUUGCCUUUCAGAGCUUGUAAGUCAGUCCUGCAAACAAGUCUUUCCAUGUGACUUUUUCCCCCAUUGAGAAAGUGGAAAUGUGAACAUUUUGUCCUAGAAAAUUCAAUUCUUGAGUUACGUGGGAUACUCCAAGUUUGGAGGAAGGUGGGGAUCCUGAAACAACAUUAAGAUGCUUCAUGAUUUACUCUCCAUCAUGCUCAGAUUUCCUCUCCACCUUUUUUAGAGUUCUGAGAAACACAGACCCAGAGUGAUUUAAUUUGCUCGUUUCUGAUACUUCUAUUUUUCUGUGUGGCCAUUGCAAUGUGGCCAUUGUGGUUGUUAAGAUAUGCAAAUCCUUGGAGAUGUAAUUAAAGAGACACUGAGAUGCUUUCAUCAAAGGACAGUUCAUCUGUUGCAACUCUACUGCUGUUUGUGCAGGUUAACUACUUGGCAUUCCUUUCAUGUACUGGAGUCAAUCUGUGUUUAAAGGAUGGAGGUGAGUGGGCAGGACAGGGCAGUUUAUCUUUGCUGCCUUCUCAUUUAUUAUUGCAUUGCUCUCUCUCACAUGGCACUACCUCAGCUGAUCAAAAUCAGGGACCACAUAUCACCAGAGUCAUUGGGAUGAAAGGCAAAAUACAUUCCUUAUUCAAUCUACAUAAGAAUAUUUAAAAUAAUCAUAGCAAUAAAUUUGAUGG
rnacentral:lncRNA from 1 species